CAGGAGUUUGACCUCAUAGCUCAGUGGCAAAACAUCUGCCUUGCAUGCAGAAGGUCCCUGGUUCAAUCCCCGCUGGCCUGA